UAGGGAAUCUUCCACAAUGGGCGAAAGCCUGAUGGAGCAACGCCGCGUGUGUGGUGAAGGGUUUCGGCUCGUAAAACACUGUUGUAAGAGAAGAAUGACAUUGAGAGUAACUGUUCAAUGUGUGACGGUAUCUUACCAGAAAGGGACGGCUAAAUACGUGCCAC
rnacentral:rRNA from 1 species